rnacentral:rRNA from 1 species
UACGUAGGGUCCAAGCGUUAAUCGGAAUUACUGGGCGUAAAGCGUGCGCAGGCGGUUUUGAAAGUCAGCUGUGAAAGCCCCGGGCUUAACCUGGGAAUUGCGGUUGAAACUACAGGGCUAGAAUCUGGCAGAGGGGGGUGGAAUUCCACGUGUAGCAGUGAAAUGCGUAGAGAUGUGGAGGAACACCGAUGGCGAAGGCAGCCCCCUGGGCUGAGAUUGACGCUCAGGCACGAAAGCGUGGGGAGCGAACAGG